AAACGUCUCAGUUCGGAUUGUAGUCUGCAACUCGACUACAUGAAGCUGGAAUCGCUAGUAAUCGCGGAUCAGAAUGCCGCGGUGAAUACGUUCCCGGGUCUUGUACACACCGCCCGUCACACCAUGGGAGUCGGAAAUGCCCGAAGCCAGUGACCCAACUGAAAGGAGGGAGCUGUCGAAGGCAGGUCUGAUAACUGGGGUGAAGUCGUAACAAGGUAAC
rnacentral:rRNA from 1 species